rnacentral:rRNA from 1 species
UCUCGGCAACGGAUAUGUCGGCUCUUGCAUCGAUGAAGAACGUAGCGAAAUGCGAUACUUGGUGUGAAUUACAGAAUCCCGUGAACCAUCGAGUCUUUGAAUGCAAGUUGAGACUGAAGCCAUUAGGUUGAAGGCACGUCUACCUAGGCGUC